AGUCGCGAGUUGUUGAGAAUGAAUGUCCGAUCUCUUUUGAAUCCUCCAGAUGAGGGAGAGAUGACAAUGAUCGCUGCCGUGGCAUUAACAGAGUUGAGGAAGAGAUCUCAGUCUCUGUUGAUAACCCAGAGCCAGGUCAAUUUUCCACACAGGCAGCAAAUGAGAACUGUGGAUGCGGCCUGCUGCUACUGUGAACAGGAAGCGCUCCAUCGACUUCAGAUAAAUGGAAGUACUAAACCUGCUGAAAUUUCCAUCCAACGAGUGUCCACGAGAGAAAAGAAAUA
rnacentral:sRNA from 1 species